rnacentral:tRNA from 1 species
GACAGCUUGGCCGAGUGGUUAAGGCGUGAGACUUGAAAUCUCAUGGGCUCUGCCCGCGUAGGUUCGAACCCUGCAGCUGUCG